rnacentral:rRNA from 1 species
UACGGAGGGUGCGAGCGUUGUCCGGAAUCACUGGGCGUAAAGGGCGCGUAGGCGGCCUGAUAAGUAGGGGGUGAAAUCCCACGGCUCAACCGUGGAAGUGCAUCCGAAACUGCGAGGCUCGAGUAUGGAAGAGGGUCGCAGAAUUCCCGGUGUAGAGGUGAAAUUCGUAGAUAUCGGGAGGAAUACCAGUGGCGAAGGCGGCGACCUGGGCCAAUACUGACGCUGAGGUGCGAAAGCGUGGGGAGCAAACAGG